rnacentral:rRNA from 1 species
GACGAACGCUGGCGGCGUGCCUAAUACAUGCAAGUUGAGCGCUGAAGGUUGGUACUUGUACCGAUUGGAUGAGCAGCGAACGGGUGAGUAACGCGUGGGGAAUCUGCCUUUGAGCGGGGGACAACAUUUGGAAACGAAUGCUAAUACCGCAUAAAAACUUUAAACACAAGUUUUAAGUUUGAAAGAUGCAAUUGCAUCACUCAAAGAUGAUCCCGCGUUGUAUUAGCUAGUUGGUGAGGUAAAGGCUCACCAAGGCGAUGAUACAUAGCCGACCUGAGAGGGUGAUCGGCCACAUUGGGACUGAGACACGGCCCAAACUCCUACGGGAGGCAGCAGUAGGGAAUCUUCGGCAAUGGACGAAAGUCUGACCGAGCAACGCCGCGUGAGUGAAGAAGGUUUUCGGAUCGUAAAACUCUGUUGGUAGAGAAGAACGUUGGUGAGAGUGGAAAGCUCAUCAAGUGACGGUAACUACCCAGAAAGGGACGGCUAACUACGUG